AUUAAACUAAUAGCCACUUGUUCAAGCAAUAUGUUCUUUAUAAAUACAUAUUGAUAUGAUAUUGUUUGUGUUCAAGUGUACUUUUUUUGUUAGGGACAUUAAGAUUAAUUAAGAAUUCUUGUAUUAAGUGUUUAGACAGAGAUUCCUCAUUAUAUUUUUAUAUGGAUAACAAAAUUAAUUGCUGCUUUGUAAAUAAUCAUGGAGCUUGUUAUAAACAAUGAUAUACUCAAGAAAGAAAUCUGAUUGAAGAUAUUGACAACAAUGAUCGUAAGCUACUUGAAAAACGAACAAAUCUGAAACAACAAAUUACCAAUAUAUGCACACACCAUCAUGAUAUGUUAGUUGUAAGAUAUCAGGGUAAUCAGAAAAGUUGCUGUGAUCCAUUUCUAAAUCACCAAAAGGUGUGUAGAGCAUCUCUACGUGUGAUUACAAUGCAUACUGUGUUAGAAGCAGAAACCAUAAGUUUAAAUCUUAUACCUGGAAAAUAACUGUGUCCAACCUGUCGAAGUAAAGUUAUGACAUUUUUAUCAAAAAGUAUAAGUGAAAAUAAAAAUGAUGAAGAUUUUGAUAUUGUUAAUGAAAGAUCCAUUCAAAAUAAAAAAGAAAGUGUAGAUAGACACUUUGCAUCUGCCGGAGUAUCUCCAAUUAAGGUCAAAGGAUUGCACAAGUCAGGUAAAAUCAGAGAAGGUAAACAAAAAUUGACAGCAUUAUCAACCUCCAUUAAAAAAAGGUAGCCAUUUCCUUUAAUAUAUUAGAAGAAAGUUUUGAAAUACAGUCAAGUUUUAAUAAUGAGUAUAUGGAAAAAGCAAACUUGUUUGAUAACAUGAUGGUAUUGUUAACUAACAAAAUUGCAGAGUCUACAUCAACAUCAAAAAAAGUACAACUUGCGACACUUGCUCCAACAGACUGGUCAAUAAAAAAGGUAUCUGAAACAUUGCAUGUAACAAACUAUGUAGCUCGAACUGCAUGUAAGUUAACAUUAGAAAAAGGUAUUUUAGCCAUGCCUAACAAACAAUGUAUAAAUAUUGCAAUAAAAACAUUGAAGACAUAAAUUUCAUAUAUAUUUCAUCAGAAGAAUUAACUUUGGUGAGAACCGCUCUUAAAGAGGGAUUGGAUACUGCUAAUACAAUACCUGGAACAUGUAGUUACCAUCAGUUUGUACCACUUGGCCAUCAAAAAGUAGGCACUAAGCUAUGCAGUGUUGAUGAAGAAUUUGCUUUAAUUCAUGGCUUUAGAAAUAUCCAGAUAGCAAAUGUAAACCUAGUACCAGGUGAUUAUGCCUGUGUUUCCUAUGAGUAAAAGUGGUGGAUAGGAGUCAUUGAAGAUAUUAAUUUAGAAGAAAAAGAUGUGCUUGUAAAAUUUUUGUGUCCUAAUGGUCCUGUACGGUCGUUUAAAUGGCCACCAAAGGAAAGCCAAUGCUGGAUUCCUGAUGUCCACAUUAUUUGCAAAGUUAAGGUACCGAUAACAAAAACAGGACUUUGCUACUAUUUAGCCAAAUAGGACUUAAAAAAAAUUAUUUUCCUAAGGAAGUAGAGAUUUUUAUAUUUAUGAGUCUAUUAUGUCUUAACCAUUCUUUUUUUAAAUAUUAUGUUUUGUGAACCAACUUGUA